CGCUCGACCCGCAAUACCUGGGCACGUGCUGUUUGACAGUUCCAGAAGCCUCUACUUCAGCUCCAAGUUCCGGACAAUAAGAGAUUUGAGGAGACAAGAAGAUAUCUCAUUGACCCAGGUCUGGAGCUUUACACAACAUGGUGAACAAAUCUGCCAACCCUUCAACAAUGUAAUGUGGAAAUAAAGUUACAUUCUGAAAA